UGCCAGGCUGAGGGGGAACACGAGACUGCUACACAUAGAUCUUUUACGCACGGAUGAACACAAACUGCCGAGGUACUUCAGUUGGCUCCCAAACACACGUUGCAAGGCAAUAGAUGCUUUUCUACAACCAUGGCCACCGGAAGGAGCAUAUGCGUUCCCACCAUUCUCGAUGUUGGGGAGAGUUCUUCAUCGUCUUCAUAUCACCAGGACUUCAAUGAUACUCAUUACACCAGAGUCAAGCAUAGUUUCUGGAUCUGUUGGCCCUACCUCAGGACCAUCCGCUACUCUUUCCAUCAUUCCCCCACCUUCUAAUGAACAAAAAAAGGGAACCUCCUCCACUGAUCCUACAAGAACGUUUAGAAUUCGUGGCCUGGAGUCUUUGAGGGGAGCCUGGUACGUCGAGGGCCUAUCGCAAACGACUAGAGACCUACUAUGGGACUCGUGGACGUAGCUACAUAUCAGC